AUACGUGUAGGGUGGAGAUGCACAACCGUCGGACUGUGUAGCAUUAGGCUUGUUCAAGACGCUUCAUAUCGUCCACACCCGCGGUUGAUUCCUCCUCCUGACUCAGUUUUGCUUAAAGCGGGGCUUAUGCCACCACAGCAAGCAGGAAGCGUCGGUCGCGACUUCGCCACUAGUACUAGUAGGCCGAAAUCUCGCUAGACACUGGAAUGGCCCGCCACUCCAUGACGCACCUGACACCGACCGUGAGAAGUCGUGUGUGCCGAACGCCGUUUCCGGCAGCCCGGAAACCGA
rnacentral:ncRNA from 1 species